rnacentral:rRNA from 1 species
AACGAACGCUGGCGGCAUGCCUAACACAUGCAAGUCGAACGAGACCUUCGGGUCUAGUGGCGCACGGGUGCGUAACGCGUGGGAACCUGCCCUUAGGUUCGGAAUAACUCCCCGAAAGGGGUGCUAAUACCGGAUAAUGUCUUCGGACCAAAGAUUUAUCGCCGUUGGAUGGGCCCGCGUUGGAUUGGCUAGUUGGUAGGGUAAAAGCCUACCAAGGCGACGAUCCAUAGCUGGUCUGAGAGGAUGAUCAGGCACACUGGGACUGAGACACGGCCCAGACUCCUACGGGAGGCAGCAGUGGGGAAUAUUGGACAAUGGGCGAAAGCCUGAUCCAGCAAUGCCGCGUGAGUGAUGAAGGCCUUAGGGUUGUAAAGCCCUUUUACCCGGGAUGAUAAUGACAGUACCGGGAGAAUAAGCACCGGCUAACUCCGUG